ACCAAUGACGUCGUCUCUCCGCGCCUGCGCAGUGGGGGUGCGGGAUCAGAUCGCCGCCAUUGUCAACGCCUCGCCUCGAUGAUCCGGGCCUAGUCUGGCGAAACCAUCAACAAGCUGUGGAAAGCCUCUUCUGAGGAUCUGUUCUGUUUGGAACGUGCAAUCCAUUACAAGAAAAUAACAGAAAAAGCUCUGCCCCUGGUGUACUGGUGGUUGGGCACAGCCUGGUACCAGUUAACAACGG